rnacentral:rRNA from 1 species
AUUGCCCUAGUAACGGCGAGUGAAGCGGCAACAGCUCAAAUUUGAAAGCUGGCCUUCGGGUCCGCAUUGUAAUUUGUAGAGGAUGCUUUGGGUGAAACGCCAGUCUAAGUUCCUUGGAACAGGACGUCAUAGAGGGUGAGAAUCCCGUAUGUGACUGGAAAUGUUAACCUAUGUAAAGCUCCUUCGACGAGUCGAGUUGUUUGGGAAUGCAGCUCUAAAUGGGAGGUAAAUUUCUUCUAAAGCUAAAUAUUGGCGAGAGACCGAUAGCGCACAAGUAGAGUGAUCGAAAGAUGAAAAGCACUUUGGAAAGAGAGUUAAAAAGCACGUGAAAUUGUUGAAAGGGAAGCGCUUGCAAUCAGACUUGUUUAAACUGUUCGGCCGGUCUUCUGACCGGUUUACUCAGUUUGGACAGGCCAGCAUCAGUUUCGGCGGCCGGAUAAAGGCUCUGGGAAUGUGGCCUUCACUUCGGUGAAGGUGUUAUAGCCCAGGGUGUAAUACGGCCAGCCGGGACUGAGGUCCGCGCUUCGGCUAGGAUGC